rnacentral:rRNA from 1 species
CAUGCAAGUCGAACGAAGUAGCAAUACUUAGUGGCAGACGGGUGAGUAACAUGUAGGUAUCUGCCCUUUGGCCUGGAAUAACACGAGGAAACUUGUGCUAAUACCGGAUAAGUCUUCACGGAGAAAGCUUUAUGCACCAUUGGAUGAGCCUGCACUUGAUUAGUUUGUUGGUGGGGUAAUGGCCUACCAAGACUGUGAUCAAUAGCUGAUUUGAGAGGAUGAUCAGCCACAUUGGGACUGAGACACGGCCCAAACUCCUACGGGAGGCAGCAGUGGGGAAUCUUGCACAAUGGAGGAAACUCUGAUGCAGCGAUGCCGCGUGAGUGAAGAAGGCCCUUGGGUUGUAAAGCUCUUUCGUCGGGGAAGAAAAUGACUGUACCCGAAUAAGAAGGUCCGGCUAACUUCGUGCCAGCAGCCGCGGUAAUACGAAGGGACCUAGCGUAGUUCGGAAUUACUGGGCUUAAAGAGUUCGUAGGUGGUUGAAAAAGUUGGUGGUGAAAUCCCAGAGCUUAACUCUGGAACUGCCAUCAAAACUUUUCAGCUAGAGUAUGAUAGAGGAAAGCAGAAUUUCUAGUGUAGAGGUGAAAUUCGUAGAUAUUA